GCACAGAUGGCCGAGUUGGUCUAAGGCGCCGCACUCAAGUUGCGGUCAUGAAAAUGGCGUGGGUUCGAAUCCCACUCUGUGCA